rnacentral:sRNA from 1 species
CCUUGAGCAUGGACAGCCUGGAUCUGCUGGGUGAAGGGAGAAGUUAUGUCCAGGGUGGGACAGAGAGGAUGGCGAGAGAUUUCCUCACUGCUCAGAACAGUGGGAAAUUCAAAACUUAGGGAUUAUUUCUGAAAUUUUCCAUUUAAAAAUUUCCAUUUAUAAUUGACCAAGGGUAACUGAAACCAGAGAAAGCAAGACUGAGGAUAAGGGAGGGGCCUCCUGUACUCCAAGAGCACUGAAUCCGGAAAAACUCAACACAUUGAUGGAGUCAUAUAUUUAAUUUUUUCUUAAAAGCCACCUGCGGGAUAUUGUAGAAACACUGCGCUGCCAAUCACAGCUUGUGAUGUGACACAUUCAUUCUGCAAGUUUAAACUUCCCCUAGCAAAUCUUUAUGAGCACCUACUAUGCAUCAGGCUGUUGUCGUGAAUAAAACAAGAUCCAUAUCCCGAGGGAGUGUGCCUUCCAGGAGAGAAAGACGGCAAUGUGUAAGGAGCGUUAGAAGAAGAUGUUGUCUUUUGGGUGUAGAAAGUGGCUGCAUCAUCCUCCAGCGUGUGUAAUCGUCCUCCUCAUACUAUUUAUCCAUUCAUUCAGCAGUGGACACCUGGGUUGCUUCUAGCUUUUGGCUAUUGUGAAUAAUUCUUCUGUGAACGUGGAUUUACAAAGCCCUGCUUUCAGUUAUUUUCGUUGUAUACUCAGAAGUGGGAUUGCUGUAUCCUAGGAUAAGACUAUUUUUGUUAUUUUGAGAAACUGCCGUACUGUUUUUCCAUAGUGGCUGCACCAUUUU